CAAACGACUCUCGGCAACGGAUAUCUCGGCUCACGCAUCGAUGAAGAACGUAGCAAAAUGCGAUACUUGGUGUGAAUUGCAGAAUCCCGUGAACCAUCGAGUUUUUGAACGCAAGUUGCGCCCGAGGCCAUUCGGCUGAGGGCACGUCUGCCUGGGCGUCACGC
rnacentral:rRNA from 1 species